rnacentral:sRNA from 1 species
GCCAGGCAUGGUGGCCCACGCCAGUAAUCCCAGCAGCCCAGGAGGCUGAGGCAGGAGGAUCACGAGUUCAAAGUUAGCCUCGGCAAAAAGCAAGGCGCUAAGCAACUCAGUGAGACCCUGUCUCUG